rfam:Pseudomonas sp. HPB0071 genomic scaffold aczIi-supercont1.1, whole genome shotgun sequence.
GGGGGCGAUUAGGAUUCGACGCCGGUAACAAAACUUGAGGAGCAUGCCGAGCUGGUAGCAGACCUCGUAAAUUAGCUGCUGCAAACUUAUAGUUGCCAACGACGACAACUACGCUCUAGCUGCUUAACGCGGCUAGCAGUCGCUAGGGGAUGCCUGUAAACCCGAAACGACUGUCAGACAGAACAGGAUCGCCGCCAAGUUCGCUGUAGACGUAACGGCUAAAACUUAUACAGAUCGCCCCAAGCGCCCUGCCCAUCGGGCCGCUAAGGGUUAACUCUAGUAGAUUGGGCUAAGCAUGUAGCGCCAAGAGCGGAGAGCUGGCGGACGGGGGUUCAAAUCCCCCCGCCUCCACCA